rnacentral:rRNA from 1 species
CUGGGCGUAAAGCGCGCGUAGGCGGUUAUUUAAGUGAGGUGUGAAAUACCCUCGGGCUCAACCUAGGAACUGCAUUUCAAACUGGAUAACUUGAGUAUGUCAGAGGGUAUUGGAAUUUCCCCGUGUAGCAGUGAAAUGCGUAGAUAUGGGAAGGAACAUCAGUGGCGAAGGCGAAUACCUGGGAUAAUACUGACGCUGAGGUGCGAAAGCGUGGGGGAGCAAACGGGGAUUAGAUACCCCUGGUAG